rnacentral:lncRNA from 1 species
AAACUUCACGUGGCCGAGAGCCACAGCGUCUGUGGUGGCUUUCUCCUAGGGUAGGCCCUGGGGUCUGGAGGUGGCCCUGGCUGGGCUGGGAGAGGUGUCCAUAUGGGGCAGGUACCCAUGUGGAAGAGGUGUCCUUGUGAGAGAGGUGUGCUUCUGAGAGAGCUGUCCUUGUACCAACCCCUCUGCACACCCAGACCUGCUGCAGGGCAGGAGCAGGCCCUGGUGAGGAGGCCUCACUUCCCACUUCCCCUGUGCUGUCCGUUCUGACCUGUGGGUAUGACCGGCCCAGAAAAGGUGGCAGAAAUUCAUGAAGAAAAGUGUUUAAGAAACAAGCAGAGCUGGAUCACAGCUUGUUUCCAAAGGAGGCUUCAGGCAUCUGAAUAGAGCUCCACGGUACUUCACCUGAGGAAGGAAAUCUGCUGCUGGUCCAGGGCCUCUGGGAAAGCAGCAUAUCUAAAGCCAUACGGUGUAAAAAGAUGGCUCAGGGCAGAGCCUUGGAUCCAAGUGGUGCAAAUCAGCAUGUGGCAACUCAGAGCAAACCGUGCUACAAGGCACAGGUCUGAGCUUGAUUUUCUUGGUCUCUUACCAGGCUGAGACCAUCUCUGCUGAUUCUCUGGAGGUGGGAGCCAUCUAGCAGACAAGUAAUCAGGCCCAGGCUCUGCUCUUUGCCGCUUUGUAAAGCAGAAGUAUUCCAGCCUUUCUAGCAGCAGCUGUCUUUCCUCUUUGGAAUCCUACCUGAUGUGUGUAAAAUUGGGUGCGGGCUUAGCAGAAAUCUGCAUGUGAAUCCCUUGCUGUUUUGUCUCACAGAGUUAUUGGCGCAGGUUUUCAUGCCACUGAAAUGUACUUGUCAGGAGAGAGGUCCAUGUUUCUCUUCUGCAAAUACAUGGCCAUUCUGAUAACAGAAAGUGAGUCCGAGAUGUGAAAGGAAAGAGAUGUCUGAAGUGAAAGAGCAAUGCAAAUGCUGAGUUCACCCCACCAGAUUUUGAUGUCUGUCAGUCUCUCUCUGGAUAACUCAUCUGUGUUGUGCUGUCAUUAAAAUACUUGCUACUUAAC